rnacentral:rRNA from 1 species
CUAAAAACUUAGCUUUACUUCCCCCCAAUGUUUACCCUAAUUCUUAACAAUAAAAUAAAACAUUUUAUACAUUAAGUAAAGGCGAUUAAAAAAUGUCUUAAAGCUAUAAAACAAGUACCGCAAGGGAACAGUGAAAUAACAAUGAAAAAUUAAAGCAUAUAAAAGUAGAGCUUCAACCUCGUACCUUUUGCAUCAUGGUCUAACUAGUCCCCUCAAGCAGAAUGAAUUUUAAGUUUGACCCCCCGAAACUAAGUGAGCUACUUAAAAACAGCCUUCUGGGCCAACCCGUCUCUGUUGCAAAAGAGUGGGAAGAUUUUUAAGUAGAGGUGAUAAACCUACCGAACCUAGAGAUAGCUGGUUAUUCAGGAAAAGGAUUUAAGUCCUACCUUAGGUUUUUAUACAACACAAGUAACCCAAAACCUUAAGAGCUAUUCAAAUAAGGUACAGCCUAUUUGAAACAGGAUACAACCUCA